UUUUCUAAAACUUUAGACACGACCCACCUUUUAUUAAAACACCUUCUCCCUCAUUUUUAACACACUUCUGAUCAAAACAAGAGAGAGGGAGAGAGGGUUCUUGAGAGAGAAAUCAAAUCCUUCAUCCUCUAGUCAUUCAAAAUCAUUGGAGCUUGGAAAAUCCUUGGUGCAUUGUCUUCUCUAUUGAUUUCUCAGGUANNNNNNNNNNNNNNNNNNNNNNNNNNNNNNNNNNNNNNNNNNNNNNNCUUCUCUAUUGAUUUCUCAGGUAAAAUCCCUAACCCAUUUCCCCCAAAUUUUGAAAUUUAGCUUGGGAAGGGAACCCCAUACACUUGCUUUGAAAUUCCUUCAUAAAACCUUCAUGCAUUUCUUCAAAACUCAAAAAUCUUGUAAAAAGGAAUUGGGUAGUAACAACGAGUUUAAAUUUCUAAAACCUAAGUGUUGCUCAUGAACUAGAUAGACUUCUUGAUUGCUUGGCGAGUUGGACUAGAGGUUUAAAAGGAAUAAUCAACUCCAGCUAUGUAUGGCUAACUGUGAUCCUUGUGAAAUCGCCCUGUGUUAGUGUGAUAUUGUUGAUAGUUGAUAUUCAUGUGGCAAUUAUUGUGAUGAUUUUGUGUUGUAUAAUUGUGUGAUAACACUUUGUGGUGAAAAUUGUGGAACUUGUAAUUGGAAGAGUUUGGAAAUGGAAAUAAUGUGGAACAAUGGGAAUCAAAAUAAUGUGGGACAUUGGAAAUGGAAAUAAUAUGGAACAUUGGAAAUGUAAAUAAUGUGGGACAGUGGAAAUGGAAAUAAUGUGGAACAAUGGAAAUGGAAAUAAUGUGCAACAACGUGUGUGAUUAGUUGUGAACAACUGUUGUGAUAAUCCAAAUUGUGUACCAAUUUGAUGAACAUGAGGAAACUGUUGUUGCUAGUUCUGGGAUUUCAUUAUCCUUGUUGUGAAUCUUUUUUAAUAAUGUGCCAUAUUUGACUUCUUAUAUUUGUUGUGUUGUUUGUUGUUGUGAAUUGAAAACUGUCAGGAG
rnacentral:lncRNA from 1 species